rnacentral:rRNA from 1 species
AUUGAACGCUGGCGGCAGGCCUAACACAUGCAAGUCGAACGAGUGGCGGACGGGUGAGUAAUGUCUGGGACACUGCCUGAUGGAGGGGGAUAACUACUGGAAACGGUAGCUAAUACCGCAUACCAUCGGAUGUGCACAGAUGGGAUUAGCUCGUAGGUGGGGUAAAGGCUCACCUAGGAGACGAUCCCUAGCUGGUCGGAGAGGAUGACCAGCCAGACGGGGACGUAGAUACGGUCCAGACGCCUACGGGAGGCAGCAGUGGGGAGUAUGGCACAAUUUGCGCAAGUCUGAUGAAGACAUGCCGCGUGUAUGAAGAAGGCCUUUGGUUUGUAAAGUCCUUGCAGCUGGGAGGCGUUACCCGCAGAAGACGCACCUGCUAACUCCGUGCCAGCAGCCGCGGUAAUAC